rnacentral:miRNA from 1 species
CUCCAGAUGUUGCUGAACUACAACUCCCAUGAUUCUCAACCUAUCUAUUUGAUUCAUAGAAUCAUGGGAGUUGUAGUUCAGCAACAUCUGGAG